rnacentral:rRNA from 1 species
UAGGGAAUCUUCCACAAUGGACGCAAGUCUGAUGGAGCAACGCCGCGUGAGUGAAGAAGGUCUUCGGAUCGUAAAACUCUGUUGUUAGAGAAGAACACGAGUGAGAGUAACUGUUCAUUCGAUGACGGUAUCUAACCAGCAAGUCACGGCUAACUACGUGCCAGCAGCCGCGGUAAUACGUAGGUGGCAAGCGUUGUCCGGAUUUAUUGGGCGUAAAGGGAACGCAGGCGGUCUUUUAAGUCUGAUGUGAAAGCCUUCGGCUUAACCGGAGUAGUGCAUUGGAAACUGGAAGACUUGAGUGCAGAAGAGGAGAGUGGAACUCCAUGUGUAGCGGUGAAAUGCGUAGAUAUAUGGAAGAACACCAGUGGCGAAAGCGGCUCUCUGGUCUGUAACUGACGCUGAGGUUCGAAAGCGUGGGUAGCAAACAGGAUUAGAUACCCUGGUAGU